GAUGAACGCUGGCGGCGUGCCUAAUACAUGCAAGUCGAGCGAACAGAUGAGGAGCUUGCUCCUCUGACGUUAGCGGCGGACGGGUGAGUAACACGUGGAUAACCUACCUAUAAGACUGGGAUAACUUCGGGAAACCGGAGCUAAUACCGGAUAAUAUAUUGAACCGUAUGGUUCAAUAGUGAAAUACGGUUUUGUUGUCACUUAUAGAUGGAUCCGCGCCGCAUCAGCUAGUUGGUAAGGUAACGGCUUACCAAGGCAACGAUUCUUAGCCGACCUGAGAGGGUGAUCGGCCACCCUGGAACUGAGACACGGUCCAGACUCCUACGGGAGGAAGCAGUAGGGAAUCUUGCGAAAUGAGCGAAAGCUUGACGGAGCAACGCCGCGUGAGUGAUGAAGGUCUUCGGAUCGUAAAACUCUGUUAUUAGGGAAGAACAAAUGUGUAAGUAACUAUGCACGUCUUGACGGUACCUUAUCAGAAAGCCACGGCUAACUACGUG
rnacentral:rRNA from 1 species